GUGGUGAAGUGAGGUGAGGCGAGGUGAGGCGCGGUGAGGUACGGUGAGGUAUAGUGCGGUGCGGUGCGGUGCAGUGAGGCUAGGCGAGGCGAGGCGAGGUGAGGUGAGGUGAGGUGAGAUGAGACGAGCAGUGAUGAGGUGCGGUAAGGUGAGGUGAGGUGAGGUGAGGUGAGGUGAGGUGAGGUGAGGUGAGGUGAGGUGAGGUGAGACGAGGCGAUGCAAGGCGAAGCGGCACGUUAGGUUAGACCGACGAGGACUCGGUUGAAGAAACUCGGUCCGUGGUAUCCUCGAUCCGCUAUCGCCUCUAUCCUAUGUCUCUUGACCCCUUUCCCCUCUUUGGAUCGACUAGUGGUCCACCGCGGUAGCGCGUUCUAUGCUCCGUUUCUCUCGGUUACUCGCUGAACGAACCGCUGCUAACUGACUCCGCGAUCCCACAAACAUCCUUCGCGUUCGAGGAACCACGUGACUGAGCUCGAACUCGAGCUCCAGCCCAAGUUCUCGAGGCAGCAGCAUCGGAUAGACAACCGAGCAAUGGACGUGCUACGCCGAACCUUUGCGCCUAUCUUUCCCGACUAUGUAUACGUGUGCGAAAUGGCACGUCAGUGUACCAGCCAGUCAGACAACCAGUCAGCUAGCAAAAGGACACGCCGGAAAGGCUUACAGACUGAAACGGUUGCGACUACCAUCGCGAUACUAUUCGCAGGUCCGAAGAUGGAAAGAACAAGUCGAUUACGCAGUUGUGUAUAUAGAUACACGUAGUAGAAAAUUUAAAGAAUGCAAUUACAUCGAUAACGUCCAUAUUUGGUAAUAUUUUCUCAAAACAUUCGAGCCAUUCGGAUACAACUUGUAAUUAGGUUCCUCAAAGUGCUCUCAAGCAUUCGUACACGUGGAUCAUUAUAUGGUGUAUCUCGAAAUAUAUAUUUGUGAAAUAUAUAA